rnacentral:rRNA from 1 species
UACGGAAGGCAGCAGGGAUGAAUAUUGCACAAUGGGCGCAAGCCUGAUGCAGCCAUGCCGCGUGUAUGAAGAAGGCCUUCGGGUUGUAAAGUACUUUCAGUCGUGAGGAAGGUGUUAAGGUUAAUAACCUUAGCAAUUGACGUUAGCGACAGAAGAAGCACCGGCUAACUCCGUGCCAGCAGCCGCGGUAAUACGGAGGGUGCGAGCGUUAAUCGGAAUUACUGGGCGUAAAGGGCACGCAGGCGGUUAAUUAAGUUGGAUGUGAAAUCCCCGGGCUUAACCUGGGAAUGGCAUUCAAGACUGGUUAGCUAGAGUCUUGUAGAGGGGGUAGAAUUCCAUGUGUAGCGGUGAAAUGCGUAGAGAUGUGGAGGAAUACCGGUGGCGAAGGCGGCCCCUGGACAAAGACUGACGCUCAUGUGCGAAAGCGUGGGGAGCAAACGAGGAUUAGAUACC